UCCGUGUUAACCACGGCAGUCUCCCUAGAGUGCCCAACUUAAUGGUGGCAACUAAGGACAAGGGUUGCGCUCGUUGCGGGACUUAACCCAACAGGUCACCCCACGAGCUGACGACAGCCAUGCAGCACCUGUCUCUCAGUGAUAUUGCUAUCAAGGCCGUAUUUCUACGGAUGUCUGAGGAUGUCAAACCCAGGUAAGGUUCUUCGCGUUGCUUCGAAUUAAACCACAUGAUCCACCGCUUGUGCGGGCCCCCGUCAAUUCCUUUGAGUUUUAGUCUUGCGACCGUACUUCCCAGGCGGGGUACUUAUUGCGUUAGCGCCGACUCAGCAGGGGUCAAGACCCACCAAAUCUAGUACCCAUCGUUUACAGCGUGGACUAC
rnacentral:misc_RNA from 1 species